rnacentral:lncRNA from 1 species
CGAGCAACAGCCGUUAUUGGACUUAGAGGCGAUUAGAACUUCUAGAAUAUGAGAAAAAGUUCCCUACUGCUGAAGAUGUUGAUUAUCCAUCUCCUUCUCCUGCCAUAUAGAUUGCUUCCUCCGUUGACAUAAUAGGUCUGUGGGAAGGGACCCAUAAAAGACCUAAUAAAAGACAUAAUAGGUAAGGCACCCUAAGCCCAUAACCCUUCUGUCUUUCUAGUAGCUGCAACCCUCCGAAUCCUUCCUAGUGUUAUAGCUCGCUCGCCCUUAGUUGAGUAGAGGAAUUGGUAGUUUGAUAAAUGGAUAGGCCCUGAUCGUUGACUCAGCAUGAUACUUAUUCCCGAAGACCUUAAAAGGAGUGUGAGUGGGUCAGUUUUCAGUUAA